CACCCCCCACCUCGGGGCUUGCACGCGCCCUCCCCGCCCUGCCGCCUCCCUCCCCGCCGGCCACCCCUGGCCAUUCCGGGGCUCCCCGCCCGGGCAGGAGUUUCCGCGCGCCCGGCACCCCCGCCCACCCCCGGGCCAUUUACCAAUGUGGUUGUCCUCGAUGUGCUCGAUGAGGUCGGCCAGGGUGGGGAAGUGGAGUCCGCAGCCCCCAAAUCGGCAGAGCACAGUGAGACAGCCAGAGUGACAGUAACUAUCUUAUGAAUGUGAGAAUGUGGACCACACUAGGAUGGUGAACUGGAACUGCCCUAUCAGCCCUGCACUGCCUAUUUCUGGAAUUCUCAUUCUGUGAGAGAAUAAUAAAUUCCUAUUGAUUUAAACCA